rnacentral:rRNA from 1 species
UACGUAGGGGGCAAGCGUUGGUCCGGAUUUAUUGGGCGUAAAGCGCGUGUAGGUGGCCAUGUAGGUCCGCUGUGAAAACUUGAGGCUCAACCUCAAGCUGUCGGUGGAAACCACAUGGCUAGAGUCCGGAAGAGGAGAGUGGAAUUCCUGGUGUAGCGGUGGAAAUGCGCAGAUAUCAGGAAGAACACCAAUGGCGAAGGCAGCUCUCUGGGACGGUACUGACACUGAGACGCGAAAGCGUGGGGAGCGAACAGG